rnacentral:rRNA from 1 species
GACGAACGCUGGCGGCGUGCUUAACACAUGCAAGUCGAACGGAAAGGCCCUGCUUUUGUGGGGUGCUCGAGUGGCGAACGGGUGAGUAACACGUGAGUAACCUGCCCUUGACUUUGGGAUAACUUCAGGAAACUGGGGCUAAUACCGGAUAGGAGCUCCUGCUGCAUGGGGGGGGUUGGAAAGUUUCGGUGGUUGGGGAUGGACUCGCGGCUUAUCAGCUUGUUGGUGGGGUAGUGGCUUACCAAGGCUUUGACGGGUAGCCGGCCUGGGAGGGUGACCGGCCACAUUGGGCCUGCGAUACGGCCCAGACUCCUACGGGAGGCAGCAGUGGGGAAUAUUGCGCAAUGGGCGGAAGCCUGAUGCAGCAACGCCGCGUGCGGGAUGACGGCCUUCGGGUUGUAAACCGCUUUCGCCUGUGACGAAGCGUGAGUGACGGUAAUGGGUAAAGAAGCACCGGCUAACUACGUG